GAUGAAGAACGUAGCGAAAUGCGAUAAGUAGUGUGAAUUGCAGAAUACAGUGAAUCAUCGAAUCUUUGAACGCACAUUGCGCCCCUUGGUAUUCCAUGGGGCAUGCCUGUUCGAGCGUCAUUUGUACCUUCAAGCUUUGCUUGGUGUUGGGUGUUUGUCUCGCCUUUGCGUGUAGACUCGCCUUAAAAUAAUUGGCAGCCGGCGUAUUGAUUUCGGAGCGCAGUACAUCUCGCGCUUUGCACUCAUAACGACAGCGUCCAAAAGUACAUUUUACACUCUUGACCUCGGAUCAGGUAGGGAUACCCGCUGAACUUAAGCAUAUCAAUAAGCGGAGGA
rnacentral:misc_RNA from 1 species